UGGACUCUUUUAAAAAAUUUGUUCUUGGGAUGUGGGCAUUGUUGGCAAGGCCAACAUUUAUUGCCCAUCCCUAAUUUCCCUUGAGUGUAUGGCAGUUCAUCAACUUGAGUGGUUGUACAGUGAAAGGUGCAUGAGUUAUUGGCGUCUUAAAUUAAUAUACCUGCAUGGUGGUCCCUCUGAUGUGAAUGACCUGUCACUCCAGGCUGUUUUCAGCCAUCAGGACUUUGCUGCGGCAUGGAUAAG